UUCUUAAGCCCUGGGCAAACUGGGAAACAUUGUUGCGGAAACAUUGUUUCCUGCCAAUGUUUCGUCGUGUUUCCAAGAGUGGGCAAACACUAGGAAACAUUAGUGAGAAACAUAGGGAAACAUCAAAUGUUUCUGAAUUCGCUAGGAAACAUUUUUGCUUCUCGGGAAGCAAAUUUUGUUUCCGCAACAUUGUUUCCACGGGUGGGCAAACAGGGAAACAUUUGAGGAAACAUCGAGAAUCACAAAUGUUUCCACAACAAUGUUUCCUAGUUUGCCCAGGGCUUUAUA